CUUUUCUUCCUUGUCUAGUGAAGGGGCGCUGCCCUUCCUUAGUGUCUGGGUUCCCGAGAGGUGUCUUAUGUGAAACUCUGCAUCCCUCAGGCUCUCCCUUGCCUGAGUCGAGUCUAGAAAGCUGGGUCACAAAACAUUUCUUGUAAAAAUCUCCUACCCUCCUCCUGUAUUCAUCACCUGAGAUACAGAGCAUCAUGCUUCAUCUCUAGGACCUAAGAUUGGCCACACUGGACCAGACCCAUAGACCAGUUAAGCCAGCAGCUUGUUUGGAUUACAGACAACUCUGCCUUCCUCAAGUCAAGUCACCUCUUUCUGACGUCCAGCCACUGUCUCUGAAGUCAAGUCACCUCUUUCUGAUGUCCAGCUGCUUCUCUGAAGUCAAGUCACCUCUCCCUGUGAUCCAGCCACUUCUCUGAAGUCAAGUCACCUCUCCCCGACAUCCAGCCAUGUCUCUGAAGUCAGGAACUUACAGUCCUGUUUAAAGACACGAAGAGAAAAACGAGAUGCCAAACCACAGUGGGAGUUUAGAGAAGACUGUGAUGAGAGUUGGAGCAUUCUUGGGGAGUCUUUGCUGCAGAGAUGGGACUUUAUGCAUCAGUACAUUCUUAAAGUGUCUACGCUGCCCCGGGAUGCUGAGCCCCUGGACACCACAGGUGGCAUUUCAGCUAUGAGUGAGGGGGGGCAUUUGGAAGGGGAGCCCCGAAGGGGAAGACAAUGGCUCAGAGAGAAUGAAGUCAGCACUUCCCAGCCUCUGUGUGCUGCGGUCCAAGGCUUCGGCCGGGAGCACUGCAGAGCAAAAGUUCUGAGAGCCACGGCUCAGGCUUAACUGGCCAGAGCGAGCUUGGCAGCUGCUCUCGUCCCAGCAGGCUUUGCUCUCUGAGGCAGUCAUUCCCACCACACAAAGGCAGUUCUGUGCCUCCCAAAGGUGCUUGGGGCAGGAAUGAAGAGCGGAACAGCCCCCAUCAAUCCAAUAGGAUUGUCGUUUUACGCUGGCGUGGAGCCUCAGACAUCAAAAGGGCUGGAGAGUGAAGCCACGUGUGAGCCGUGAAGUUGGUGACCCUGAGGCACAGAAAGCUGAGGGAAUUUGUUCGAAGUCACACAGCUGGUAAGUGUCCUGGAGUCUACUUUCUUGACCUCUGUGCUGUGCUGCCUCUUGGGUCCAAACCCACAUACCUGAACAUAAAAUGAGCGCUUACACCUAUCCAAAGAACAGAGACAGUGCAGCCUCUCAGGUGAGUGCACCAGUCCCCUGGCCACAGGAGGGACAUGCAGAUUUCUGGGAAUGGUACCCUGUGAGUCAUGACAUUCUUGCUGAAGCUGCAUCAACUGAGACCAGUCCUGCUCCUACUUCUUC
rnacentral:lncRNA from 10 species